rnacentral:rRNA from 1 species
GAUGAACGCUGGCGGCGUGCCUAAUACAUGCAAGUCGAGCGAACAGACGAGGAGCUUGCUCCUCUGACGUUAGCGGCGGACGGGUGAGUAACACGUGGAUAACCGACCUAUAAGACUGGGAUAACGUCGGGAAACCGGAGCUAACACCGGAUAAUAUGUUGAAUCGCAUGGUUCAACAGUGAAAGACGGUCUUGCUGUCACUUAUAGAUGUAUCCGCGCCGCAUUAGCUAGUUGGUAAGGUAACGGCUUACCAAGGCAACGAUGCGUAGCCGACCUGAGAGGGUGAUCGGCCACACUGGAACUGAGACACGGUCCAGACUCCUACGGGAGGCAGCAGUAGGGAAUCUUCCGCAAUGGGCGAAAGCCUGACGGAGCAACGCCGCGUGAGUGAAGAAGGUCUUCGGAUCGUAAAACUCUGUUAUUAGGGAAGAACAAAUGUGUAAGUAACUAUGCACGUCUUGACGGUACCUAAUCAGAAAGCCACGGCUAACUACGUG